rnacentral:rRNA from 1 species
AUUCCUACGGGAGGCAGCAGUGAGGAAUAUUGCGCAAUGGAGGAAACUCUGACGCAGCCAUGCCGCGUGCAGGAAGAAUGCCCUAUGGGUUGUAAACUGCUUUUAUAUAGGAAGAAACCCCGAUACGUGUAUCGGCUUGACGGUACUAUAUGAAUAAGGACCGGCUAACUCCGUGCCAGCAGCCGCGGUAAUACGGAGGGUCCAAGCGUUAUCCGGAUUUAUUAGGUUUAAAGGGUCCGCAGGCGGGAUUUUAAGUCAGUGGUGAAAGCCUACAGCUCAACUGUAGAACUGCCAUUGAAACUGAAGUCCUUGAGUGUCGUUGAAGUGGGCGGAAUAUGUCAUGUAGCGGUGAAAUGCAUAGAUAUGACAUAGAACACCAAUUGCGAAGGCAGCUCACUAAACCAUUACUGACGCUCAUGGACGAAAGCGUGGGGAGCGAACGGGAUUAGAUACCCUGGUAGUCCACGCCGUAAACGAUGAUCACUCGUUGCUAGCGAUACACUGUUAGUGACCAAGCGAAAGUGUUAAGUGAUCCACCUGGGAAGUACGUUCGCAAGAAUGAAACUCAAAGGAAUUGACGGAAU